rnacentral:rRNA from 1 species
CAAGUCGAGCGAAUUGACGAAGAAAGCUUUCUUUCUUCUGAUGUUAGCGGCGGACGGGUGAGUAACACGUGGGCAACCUGCCCUUUAGUUCGGGAUAACUUCGGGAAACCGGAGCUAAUACCGAAUAAUACUUCAAGCCUCGUGGUUUGAAGUUGAAAGACGGUUUCGGCUGUCGCUAAAGGAUGGGCCCGCGGUGCAUUAGCUAGUUGGUGAGGUAACGGCUCACCAAGGCAACGAUGCAUAGCCGACCUGAGAGGGUGAUCGGCCACACUGGGACUGAGACACGGCCCAGACUCCUACGGGAGGCAGCAGUAGGGAAUCUUCCACAAUGGACGAAAGUCUGAUGGAGCAACGCCGCGUAAGUGAUGAAGGAUUUCGGUUCGUAAAACUCUGUUGCAAGGGAAGAACAAGUAGCGUAGUAACUGGCGCUACCUUGACGGUACCUUGUUAGAAAGCCACGGCUAACUACGUGCCAGCAGCCGCGGUAAUACGUAGGUGGCAAGCGUUGUCCGGAAUUAUUGGGCGUAAAGCGCGCGCAGGUGGUUUCUUAAGUCUGAUGUGAAAGCCCCCGGCUCAACCGGGGAGGGUCAUUGGAAACUGGGAGACUUGAGUGCAGAAGAGGAUAGUGGAAUUCCAAGUGUAGCGGUGAAAUGCGUAGAGAUUUGGAGGAACACCAGUGGCGAAGGCGACUGUCUGGUCUGUAACUGACACUGAGGCGCGA